AUCCAUUAGGUCAAAAUACUGCCAGGAAUUCGGGUAGGGUUUGAGUCUCUCAGCCCGAUAACGUUUCCGAAGCUUCUCGAUCUUAUGACGGCAUUGGGUGGCGGAUUUCGACGGCUCAUCGAAGCCGCAACGAGCUGCGACUGUAAUGGCGACUUCUUCCCAUUGGCUAGCUUUGAGCUGACCCUUUUUGAGAGAGUACCAUUUUUCCUGAUAAGCUUGGAUUAAAUUGAAAGUUUCUUGAUGGGUCCAUGGUAUAGGUUGAGUUUUCUUCUGGGGUGAUGGGAUUGGGGGAUUGGGAGAGAUUUGGGGUUGAUUUGAUUCAGGGGGAGGAAGGAGGAGGGGUGGGGGAGAUGAAGGAGUAGCCAUGGAUAUUGGUGUUUGAUGAGAUAUUGUGCUUUUGCAAGUUUUGGGUAUUGGAAAAGUUAGGUUUUUUUUUUGGAUGGUG
rnacentral:misc_RNA from 1 species